rnacentral:rRNA from 1 species
CUGGUAUGACGGAGCGGCGAACGGGUGAGUAACGCGUGAGCAACCUGCCCCACAGACCGGGACAGCCCAGGGAAACUUGGAUUAAUACCGGAUGACCUCGGAGGAUCGCAUGAUCCAUCGAGGAAAUGCCUUUGUGCUGUGGGAUGGGCUCGCGACUUAUCAGCUAGUUGGUGGGGUAACGGCCUACCAAGGCGUCGACGAGUAGCUGGUCUGAGAGGACGAUCAGCCACACUGGGACUGAGACACGGCCCAGACUCCUACGGGAGGCAGCAGCAGGGAAUCUUGCGCAAUGGACGAAAGUCUGACGCAGCAACGCCGCGUGGGGGAUGAAGGCCUUCGGGUUGUAAACCCCUUUCAGGAGGGAAGAAAUUGACGGUACCUCCAAAAGAAGCACCGGCCAACUACGUGCCAGCAGCCGCGGUAAUACGUAGGGUGCGAGCGUUAUCCGGAAUCAUUGGGCGUAAAGAGCUCGUAGGCGGUUCAGCAAGUCGGCUGUGAAAUUUCGAGGCUCAACCUCGAAACUGCAGUCGAAACUGCUGUGACUCGAGUCCGGUAGAGGAGAAUGGAAUUCCCGGUGUAGCGGUGAAAUGCGCAGAUAUCGGGAGGAACACCAGUAGCGAAGGCGGUUCUCUGGGCCGGCACUGACGCUGAGGAGCGAAAGCGUGGGUAGCAAACAGGAUUAGAUACCCUGGUAGUCCACGCCGUAAACGUUGGAUACUAGGUGUGGCGUCCCGAUUAACGGUCGCCGUGCCGAAGCUAACGCAUUAAGUAUCCCGCCUGGGGAGUACGGCCGCAAGGCUAAAACUCAAAGGAAUUGACGGGUCCCCGCACAAGCGGCGGAGCAUGCGGCUUAAUUCGAUGCAACCCGAAGAACCUUACCUGGGUUUGACAUCACGGGAAAAGCUGUAGAAAUACAGUGUCCAUUAGGGCCCGUGACAGGUGGUGCAUGGCUGUCGUCAGCUCGUGUCGUGAGAUGUUGGGUUAAGUCCCGCAACGAGCGCAACCCUUAUCCUAUGUUGCCAGCGGUUCGGCCGGGGACUCAUAGGAGACUGCCGGGGAUAACUCGGAGGAAGGUGAGGACGACGUCAAGUCAUCAUGCCCCUUAUAUCCAGGGCUGCACGCAUGCUACAAUGGUCGGUACAACGGGCAGCGAUCUCGUGAGAGUGAGCGAAUCCCUUAAGCCGGCCCAGUUCGGAUUGAAGUCUGCAACUCGACUUCAUGAACC